rnacentral:tRNA from 1 species
GCAUUGGUAGUUCAGUAGAAUUCUCAUCUUCCAUGCAGGAGACCUGGAUCCUAUUCCCAGCCAAUGCA